rnacentral:rRNA from 1 species
GACGAACGCUGGCGGCGUGCCUAACACAUGCAAGUCGAGCGGGGACAUUCAAGGAGUAAUCUGAGAAUGUUCUAGCGGCGGACGGGUGAGUAACGCGUGAGCAACCUGUCCUUAUCUGGGGGAUAAGAAGCCGAAAGGCUUUCUAAUACCGCAUGAGACCACAGAGCCACAUGGUUCAGGGGUCAAAGGAGCAAUCCGGGUAAGGGUGGGCUCGCGUCUGAUUAGCUAGUUGGUGGGGUAACGGCUCACCAAGGCUUUGAUCAGUAGCCGACCUGAGAGGGUGAUCGGCCACAUUGGAACUGAGACACGGUCCAAACUCCUACGGGAGGCAGCAGUGGGGAAUAUUGGUCAAUGGGCGCAAGCCUGAACCAGCCAUCCCGCGUGCAGGAAGACGGCCCUAUGGGUUGUAAACUGCUUUUCCAGGAGAGAAACUUACGCACGUGUUGCGUGACUGACGGUACCCUGGGAAUAAGCAUCGGCUAACUACCGUGCCAGCACG